UCCGCCUGCAACAUGAAGCUCACUCUGAAGAACAAGUUUGUGGAGUUCGAUAUGAAGCCUGUGUGUAAGAGGUGCUAUGAAAGGUUCCCCCUGGAACUGAAGAAGAGGUUGAAGAAGCUGUCCGACCUGAGCUCCCGCAAGGCCCAGCCCAAGCCUGUGGGCGUCAACUCAGUCUGAAGGUCCUUGGCCUCCUUGCCUGCCUGCAGAACCUUAGCCCUCACCCUCUGCCCCAAGUCCUGCUAGCCACCUCCCACUUCUGCUCCAAUGCAGCCCCUCCUCCGGGGGCAUUCUGUUUCCAGUCCACUUCGGGCUAUGUAGUCCUCUCCUCUCUACUCUCCCAGGAGACUCUCAGGCCCAGUGUGACCCUGGGGCUUGGCUGAGAAGCUGACCCAGCCCCAGGGCCAGCACCACGCAGACAGAGGCUUCAGGGGAGUACCCUUCAGUUAUUCAACCACAGUAGGUAGCUUGUGCUUACACUGUGUCAGCAAACCCAGCUAGAGGGCUGGGACCCCCAUUGCCUUUGCCACUCAGAAGACCUCAUAGAAAGCUUCCCAGCUGCCCACCCAGCUUGGGUCCCAUUUCCCAGGAGCACAUUGCCCUGGCCGUCUCAGACCCAAAAGUGGUGACAUACUUGCACAAUGAAGGCUGAUUCAC
rnacentral:lncRNA from 1 species